AACGCUGGCGGCGUGCCUAAUACAUGCAAGUAGAACGCUGAAGAGAGGAGCUUGCUCUUCUUGGAUGAGUUGCGAACGGGUGAGUAACGCGUAGGUAACCUGCCUUGUAGCGGGGGAUAACUAUUGGAAACGAUAGCUAAUACCGCAUAACAAUGGAUGACACAUGUCAUUUAUUUGAAAGGGGCAAAUGCUCCACUACAAGAUGGACCUGCGUUGUAUUAGCUAGUAGGUGAGGUAACGGCUCACCUAGGCGACGAUACAUAGCCGACCUGAGAGGGUGAUCGGCCACACUGGGACUGAGACACGGCCCAGACUCCUACGGGAGGCAGCAGUGGGGAAUCUUCGGCAAUGGGGGCAACCCUGACCGAGCAACGCCGCGUGAGUGAAGAAGGUUUUCGGAUCGUAAAGCUCUGUUGUAAGUCAAGAACGAGUGUGAGAGUGGAAAGUUCACACUGUGACGGUAGCUUACCAGAAAGGGACGGCUAACUACGUGCCAGCAGCCGCGGUAAUACGUAGGUCCCGAGCGUUGUCCGGAUUUAUUGGGCGUAAAGCGAGCGCAGGCGGUUUGAUAAGUCUGAAGUUAAAGGCUGUGGCUCAACCAUAGUUCGCUUUGGAAACUGUCAAACUUGAGUGCAGAAGGGGAGAGUGGAAUUCCUUGUGUAGCGGUGAAAUGCGUAGAUAUAUGGAGGAACACCGGUGGCGAAAGCGGCUCUCUGGUCUGUAACUGACGCUGAGGCUCGAAAGCGUGGGGAGCGAACAGGAUUAGAUACCCUGGUAGUCCACGCCGUAAACGAUGAGUGCUAGGUGUUGGAUCCUUUCCGGGAUUCAGUGCCGCAGCUAACGCAUUAAGCACUCCGCCUGGGGAGUACGACCGCAAGGUUGAAACUCAAAGGAAUUGACGGGGGCCCGCACAAGCGGUGGAGCAUGUGGUUUAAUUCGAAGCAACGCGAAGAACCUUACCAGGUCUUGACAUCCCGAUGCUAUUUCUAGAGAUAGAAAGUUACUUCGGUACAUCGGUGACAGGUGGUGCAUGGUUGUCGUCAGCUCGUGUCGUGAGAUGUUGGGUUAAGUCCCGCAACGAGCGCAACCCCUAUUGUUAGUUGCCAUCAUUCAGUUGGGCACUCUAGCGAGACUGCCGGUAAUAAACCGGAGGAAGGUGGGGAUGACGUCAAAUCAUCAUGCCCCUUAUGACCUGGGCUACACACGUGCUACAAUGGUUGGUACAACGAGUUGCGAGUCGGUGACGGCAAGCUAAUCUCUUAAAGCCAAUCUCAGUUCGGAUUGUAGGCUGCAACUCGCCUACAUGAAGUCGGAAUCGCUAGUAAUCGCGGAUCAGCACGCCGCGGUGAAUACGUUCCCGGGCCUUGUACACACCGCCCGUCACACCACGAGAGUUUGUAACACCUGAAGUCGGUGAGGUAACCUUUUGGAGCCAGCCGCCUAAGGUGGGAUAGAUGAUUGGGG
rnacentral:rRNA from 1 species